AAAUGCGAUAAGUAAUGUGAAUUGCAGAAUUCAGUGAAUCAUCGAAUCUUUGAACGCACAUUGCGCCCGCCAGUAUUCUGGCGGGCAUGCCUGUCCGAGCGUCAUUUCAACCAUCAAGCCCCCGGGCUUGUGUUGGGGACCUGCGGCUGCCCGCAGGCCCUGAAAACCAGUGGCGGGCUCGCUGUCACACCGAGCGUAGUAGCAAUCACCUCGCUCAGGGCGUGCCGCGGGUUCCGGCCGUUAAACAGCCUUACAAAACCCAAGGUUGACCUCGGAUCAGGUAGGAAGACCCGCUGAACUUAAGC
rnacentral:misc_RNA from 1 species